UCUGUGUAUUGUAGGCAGAGUUUACAUAAGGCAUAAUGCAUCCCUACUUCAACACAGCUGAAUCAUGUGGUUGGAUUACCUCUUCAGCAUGCCAUCAAGUUUGGCAAAGGCCUGGUAACAAGCCAUUCAUUUGAUUCAGGUGUGUCGGAACAAGGAUGCAUCUAAAAGCUGCAGGACAGUAGCUCUCAAGGACUGUAGUUGGCCACCUCUGACAUAAGGUAUCGAAAGUAAAGAACUGGCCCCCAUCAGUGUUAUAGGAUUUAAUACUACUGCUACAGAUUUUUAAGGCUAAGCACAGUUUUUGUUACCAACAUCAAAAUGCAAACCCCAGACAAAUUCCAAAGGAAUCCAAGCCAAGCAGAGUUAAGCCUCUUUCCAGAAACAAUAGCCAGCUGGAGACACAAGAUGGCAGUAACUUAAAGGAUGGAUGCAAGCAGGUAAGAAGGUUUUUGAUGGAUGUUUGAGAUACAACAAGUGUGUUUGUUUUCACUUUGAUAUGUUUUAAAAUUUUACUGGACAAGCACUGAUUGCCUUGCUUGCCCUUACUGAAUGCCAUUGGUAUCUACCAGUAAAACAAUUUAGGUAAAUAACAAAUAGUUUCCCCAAAAUGUUAAAUCCUUUUCAAGUAAUGUGAUCAUGCUUCAAAAAAUAAUUAUUAGUGCUAUGAAAAUAUUUUUUCAUAUGUUGUCAAUAGACAUAAGAUUUCAUGCUUACUGUU
rnacentral:lncRNA from 1 species